GCCGGGUGCAGUGGUGCAUGCCUGUAAUCUCAGCGAUUUGGGAGGCUGAGGUAGGAGGAUCACAAGUUCAAAGCCAGCCUCAGGAACUUAGCGAGGCCCUAAGCAACUCAGUGAGACCCUGUCUCUA
rnacentral:sRNA from 1 species